rnacentral:rRNA from 1 species
AGCAUCCUACGGGAGGCAGCAGUGGGGGAUAUUGCACAAUGGGGGAAACCCUGAUGCAGCGACGCCGCGUGAGUGAAGAAGUAUUUCGGUACGUAAAGCUCUAUCAGCAGGGAAGAAUAAUGACGGUACCUGACUAAGAAGCCCCGGCUAACUACGUGCCAGCAGCCGCGGUAAUACGUAGGGGGCACGCGUUAUCCGGAUUUACUGGGUGUAAAGGGAGCGUAGACGGCUGUGCAAGUCUGAAGUGAAAUGCCAGGGCUCAACCC